GGAAUCCCCCUUCCUGCUCCCAGCGUGGUCAGUCCUCUGAAGAGGUGACUGUCACAGUGCAGUCCGUUUGCUCUGUAUCUUGUUUGACUUUUUCCAACCACCACCAACUUUGGCGCCUAAUCGAAAAAUACGCUCCUUCAUUCCUUCAUUCCUUCACUGCUGUCUUAGGGCAAACAUAAAGAUCAGGGUGUACUUCCAGCCCAUGAGGUCACGAAUCUGGGCAUAAGUCAAAGAACAAAGACACUUGCUUUAUUAUGGGUUAUUAUUUGUCCACUUAAAGUUCUCGCAGUUCUUGGUAUGACCUUUUAAGAUUCACUUCUUGCCAAAAGUAACCAAAGGUCCAAAACCUGUAAAUCAGUCUGCUUCAAGAAACUCGUUCCUAACGCUCUGUUUUCGCAAUCUUUAUGAGGGAUACUUUGGUUCAUUGUGAAGAAUUUAACUCCCCCCCCUUUUUUUUGUCUGUGCCCCCUCUCCUUUUAAACCAAAUGGGUGCAGAAUGAUAUUAGGUGACUAGGUGACUGGGAUAUAAUCACCAAGACUUUGGUUUGGAAGGACCAUGAGUGACCACUGGGACAUGCUCCACUCAAUACAAUUAUCCCAUUUUUAGAAUAAUUACCAGCCCUUGCUCCACCAAGUGUUUAGCACAUGCAAGGCUUUCAUUCUGUUUUGUUUUGACAGCACUUUUAGGAAACUUUCCUUUAUAUUGAGCCCAAAUCUUUCUCUCCUUAACUUUGACCCAAAUGCCACAAUCUGAGCUCUGAGGAAACGCAAGUGAGGUCUACUCAUGCAGCUGUGGCAACAGAACAGUAUUAGUCACCAUUGAAUCAAUUCUGAGUACAGUGUCGCAGGCCUGUAGCUCCAGGUGUCCUUCCACCCGCUGUGAAUAUGGUGAACAAAACAGAAGAAGCCCAUGCCCGUGAGGCUGAUGAUCCCCUGGGGAGCCUAGGAACAGCCAAGGAGGUGAGGAGGCGUGAACAGAAGAGGGGGAGAAGGCAUAGCGCCCCACAGGGGACAUCCCGGGGCCAGAACCCUGGAAGCCACGUGAAGGAACUGGAUUAUGGAGGAAGGUGUGGAGCCCGGCCCUGGUGAGACGGCCAGCUGCAGGAAGAAGCGGCCAUCAAGCCCUUGGUGGCCUUGGGAGAGCUCUUUAGGUAGAGAGGGUGGGAGCAGGUUCACUGACAAGAGAGGGAGAGGUGGAGAUGGAAGGACAGGCAGCCUUCAAAGGGAGGAGAGAGGGGUUUGGAACCUGGAAGGCAAAGUGGGGCUGUGAAAAGCAUUUUAUUAAGAUGAGAGACAUCACAGGUUAGGGCCUUCUGAAGCUUGGAGACUGGAGUAUGGUGUCCACGCCAAGGACCACACAUGGCCAUGGCCCAUCCCAUGCCUGGCUUCUCCCACACCGUACACCCACGUAGGUUAGCUCCCCUGAGAAAAGAGUUCAGAUGCCGCUUUUCCUCUACAUUUAUGUGUCCUUGACUUUGUGUAAGAUAAAUCCCUUAGUUUGAUAUUAUUUAAAAAUCAAUAUGACAAACAUCUUAUUGUUCUAGAAUUACCAGAGUUAGAAAGCACUAUUUAAUUCCACAUUUUCAAAUGAGGAAACUGGAAUCCAAGGCAACUUCUUAAUGCAUAUGAAGUCAUAAAGCAUGUAUUGGGGUAUUUGUGUUAAUUUAUCACUUUGGAUACCUCAUUCUUCAAAAAUGUGUGGAUUAAAAAAUCAUCUGAGCUGGGCGCAGUGGCGCGCGCCUGUAAUCCCAGUGCCUCGGGAGGCAGAGGCAGGAGGAUUGCGAGUUCAAAGCCAGCCUCAAUAACAGCAAGGCACUCAGCACUCAGUGAGAU